GCCCGGGCCGCGGCGGGCGGCGGCCACUGCAGGCAGCAGACGUCCGUGGCCACGCCGACUACCUACAGAGGUCGGCGAGGGGGGCGUCCCUCCUGUGCUUCCUCCGCUUGCCGUGGAAACACGGGUUAGUGGGUUUGCUGG